rnacentral:rRNA from 1 species
AGCGAACGCUGGCGGCAGGCUUAACACAUGCAAGUCGAGCGGGCACUUCGGUGUCAGCGGCAGACGGGUGAGUAACACGUGGGAACGUACCCUUUGGUUCGGAAUAACGCUGGGAAACUAGCGCUAAUACCGGAUACGCCCUUUUGGGGAAAGGCUUGCUGCCGAAGUAUCGGCCCGCGUCUGAUUAGCUAGUUGGUGGGGUAAUGGCCUACCAAGGCGACGAUCAGUAGCUGGUCUGAGAGGAUGAUCAGCCACACUGGGACUGAGACACGGCCCAGACUCCUACGGGAGGCAGCAGUGGGGAAUAUUGGACAAUGGGCGCAAGCCUGAUCCAGCCAUGCCGCGUGAGUGAUGAAGGCCUUAGGGUUGUAAAGCUCUUUUGUCCGGGACGAUAAUGACGGUACCGGAAGAAUAAGCCCCGGCUAACUUCGUG